GGCAAUGUCCCCCGCCGCUAAAGAAUGGAAUAUCUAUAUUUACUACUUUAUAUUUUGGGGUCACAUACAAGAUGCCUGAAAUGACUGGAGUUUGUAUAAUCACCCGAUGUAGACUGUCAAUAUAAUUGAAAACAUUGGGUGCAAUGUUUUAUGAGAUAUCGCGUUUAAAAAACAGUCAAAGUAAUG